AUCAAAUCCAAGCAGCGGCCCUCUACAUGUGGACUGUGAAAACACAAGACUGCUGCAGCCAAAAUCCAGGAAGGACAGAGCAUCUGAAAACAAGAAACAAGACCAGAUCAGUUCUUCCAUCCCUAAGGUGCAUGGCAACCCCUCAAGGCUGGAAGAUGAUCAGGAAUCCAAUUAUAGAGGAUUACAAGGAUAAGAUGCCCACUGUAUCAGCCGUCCUGCAACACAUAAGGUGUAGAAAGAGAGUGAGGAUGGCAGCAUGUGACUGUAUUUCCCCAGAAGACAAACACGACGUCUCCGACCACUGAAACAGGUGAAUUGCAUCAGAAACCGAGCAUCAGAAACAGAGUCAAUACAGUGUUCAGUGCUCAGUGUUCCUGUGUGACAAGUUCUCCUCAAGACUGGAGAGACUGGAGGUCAGAGAGCUUGUACCCUGGCCGUCUCCCCCAGGGUCCUUCCAACAAGGUGGGAAGGGGGGUCAGCCGAAGCGAUCACAUGGA